rnacentral:rRNA from 1 species
AGAUUGAACGCUGGCGGCAUGCCUUACACAUGCAAGUCGAACGGCAGCACGGGGGCAACCCUGGUGGCGAGUGGCGAACGGGUGAGUAAUGCAUCGGAACGUGCCCAGUAGUGGGGGAUAACUAGUCGAAAGAUUAGCUAAUACCGCAUACGACCUAUGGGUGAAAGCGGGGGAUUCGCAAGAACCUCGCGCUAUCGGAGCGGCCGAUGUCUGAUUAGCUAGUUGGCGGGUAAAAGCCACCAAGGCUUCGAUCAGUAGCUGGUCUGAGAGGACGACCAGCCACACUGGGACUGAGACACGGCCCAGACUCCUACGGGAGGCAGCAGUGGGAAUUUGGACAAUGGGCGCAAGCCUGAUCCAGCCAUGCCGCGUGCGGGAAGAAGGCCUUCGGUGUAAACCGCUUUGGCAGGAACGAAACGGCGACGAGACGAAGUAUCUACGCGUUAAAGUCGACGGUACCUGACCGAGAAUAAGACACCGGACUAACCUACGUGACCAGC